rnacentral:rRNA from 1 species
GAUGAACGCUGGCGGCGUGCCUAACACAUGCAAGUCGAGCGAGAAAUAAAGAACAGACGCUUCGGUAGACGUUCUUUAUGGAAAGCGGCGGACGGGUGAGUAACGCGUAGGCAACCUGCCCCGAACACAGGGAUAGCCUCGGGAAACCGGGAUUAAAACCUGAUGACACCAUUUUGUCACCUGGCAAGAUGGCCAAAGAUUUAUCGGUUCGGGAUGGGCCUGCGUCUGAUUAGUUAGUUGGUGAGGUAACGGCUCACCAAGGCGACGAUCAGUAGCCGACCUGAGAGGGUGAUCGGCCACAUUGGAACUGAGACACGGUCCAAACUCCUACGGGAGGCAGCAGUGGGGAAUAUUGCACAAUGGGCGAAAGCCUGAUGCAGCAACGCCGCGUGAACGAAGAAGGCCUUUGGGUCGUAAAGUUCUGUCCUAGGGGAAGAAACAAAUGACGGUACCCUUGGAGGAAGCCCCGGCUAACUACGUGCCAGCCGCCGCCGUAAAAC